AGAUUGGUAUCUCAGUGCUAGAGUGCAUUCUUUGUAUGCAUUAUGUCCUGGGUUCAAUCUCCAGCUUCUCCC